GGCUGCGUAGCUCAGUUGGCUAGAGCAUACGGUUCAUACCCGUAGGGUCCGGGGUUCAAGUCCCUGCGCCGCCA
rnacentral:tRNA from 1 species